rnacentral:rRNA from 1 species
GACGAGGGAUCCUAGCGUUGUUCGGAAUUAUUGGGCGUAAAGCGGGUGUAGGUGGCUCGGUAAGUCAGGUGUGAAAGCCCAGGGCUCAACCCUGGAAGUGCACUUGAUACUGCUGAGCUUGAGUGCUAGAGAGGCUAUUAGAAUACCUAGUGUAGUGGUGAAAUACGUAGAUAUUAGGUGGAAUACCGGAGGCGAAGGCGGAUAGCUGGCUAGACACUGACACUCAGACCCGAAAGUGUGGGGAUCAAACAGG